UGACGUCCAUAUCACGUUUAAACACCGUUUCUCAUACGAUCACCGAAGUUAAUCAACGUUGGCCCGUCAUUACUGAGAUGGGUGACCUAUUUGGAAGACGAGGUGCGG